rnacentral:rRNA from 1 species
AGAACGAACGCUGGCGGCGUGGAUAAGACAUGCAAGUCGAACGCUCGUUUCGGGGUAGCAAUAUUCCGGAGCGGGAGUGGCGCAAGGGUGCGUAACACGUGGGUCAUUUGCCGUGAAGCUGGGAACAACUCGUUGAAAGACGAGCUAAUACCCAAUGUGCUCCGCAAGGAGUAAAGCCGGGGACCGCAAGGCCUGGCACUUUACGAUAAGCCCGCGGCCUAUCAGCUAGUUGGCGGGGUAAAAGCCCACCAAGGCUAAGACGGGUAGCUGGUCUGAGAGGACGACCAGCCACACUGGAACUGAGACACGGUCCAGACACCUACGGGUGGCAGCAGUCGAGAAUUUUUCACAAUGGGCGAAAGCCUGAUGGAGCGACGCCGCGUGGGGGAUGAAGGGCUUCGGCUCGUAAAACCCCUGUCAUUCGCGAACAAAGGUGCCGGCCUAAUAUGCCGUCGUCUGAUAGUAGCGGAAGAGGAAGGGACGGCUAACUCUGUGCCAGCAGCC